rnacentral:rRNA from 1 species
UACGUAGGGGGCAAGCGUUGUCCGGAUUUAUUGGGCGUAAAGAGCGUGUAGGCGGCCAGACAGGUCCGUUGUGAAAACUCGAGGCUUAACCUCGAGAUGUCGGCGGAAACCAUCUGGCUAGAGUCCGGAAGAGGAGAGUGGAAUUCCUGGUGUAGCGGUGAAAUGCGCAGAUAUCAGGAAGAACACCCGUGGCGAAGGCGGCUCUCUGGGACGGUACUGACGCUGAGACGCGAAAGCGUGGGGAGCGAACAGG